UACGUAGGGUGCGAGCGUUAAUCGGAAUUACUGGGCGUAAAGCGUGCGUAGGCGGUCCCGCAAGUCCGCUGUGAAAGCCCCGGGCUUAACCUGGGAAUGGCAGUGGAAACUAUGGGACUUGAAUCUGGCAGAGGGGGGUGGAAUGCCACGUGUAGCAGUGAAAUGCGUAGAGAUGUGGCGGAACACCGAUGGCGAAGGCAGCCCCCUGGGCUGAGAUUGACGCUCAGGCACGAAAGCGUGGGGAGCAAACAGG
rnacentral:rRNA from 1 species